rnacentral:lncRNA from 1 species
CACUCUUCCUCAACUCAUCGCAUCUAUGUCGCACUCUUGGCUCUUGCUACGGCUAGGACGAAGAUGAAGGCAAUGACUAUCAACUCUUCACGGGGCAAGCAUUGGAAAUGUGACUAAUAACUAAUAAAAGGUAUUAGAGAUAUGAUUAAUAACUAUUCCCUAUCUUUAAGCUUUCCAAAUUGAAGACCCACUUGUUGAAAAUGUACCUUAAAGCCAAUCAUAAGAUGGUACUUUACGAACAUUUCAGAUAUUAAACUAAUCUAGUUUCAUGUAUGGGCAAAGAUUAUUGUUAAAAGCCAUCUCAUUUAAUGGUAUACGCAUAAAACUACAAGUCCAAGGUAUAUGUAAUUAGGAGAAUGUGAUCUAAAGAAGUUAGAUUGAUGAUGCGUUUCUCUUUACACAUAUCCUAAAUAGGGAUGGU